rnacentral:rRNA from 1 species
GCCCGCGGCCUAUCAUCUUGUUGGUGGGGUAAUGGCCUACCAAGGCGUCGACGGGUAGCCGGCCUGAGAGGGUGGACGGCCACCUUGGGACUGAGAUACGGCCCAGACUCCUACGGGAGGCAGCAGUGGGGAAUAUUGCACAAUGGGCGCAAGCCUGAUGCAGCGACGCCGCGUGAGGGAUGACGGCCUUCGGGUUGUAAACCUCUUUCGACAGGGACGAAGCUUUUUGUGACGGUACCUGUAUAAGAAGCACCGGCUAACUACGUGCCAGCAGCCGCGGUAAUACGUAGGGUGCGAGCGUUGUCCCGAAUUACUGGGCGUAAAGAGCUCGUAGGUGGUUUGUCGCGUCGUCUGUGAAAUUCCGGGGCUUAACUCCGGGCGUGCAGGCGAUACGGGCAUAACUUGAGUGCUGUAGGGGAGACUGGAAUUCCUGGUGUAGCGGUGGAAUGCGCAGAUAUCAGGAGGAACACCGAUGGCGAAGGCAGGUCUCUGGGCAGUAACUGACGCUGAGGAGCGAAAGCAUGGGGAGCGAACAGGAUUAGAUACCCUGGUAGUCCAUGCCGUAAACGGUGGGCGCUAGGUGUGAGGGUCUUCCACGACUUUCGUGCCGUAGCUAACGCAUUAAGCGCCCNGCCUGGGGAGUACGGCCGCAAGGCUAAAACUCAAAGGAAUUGACGGGGGCCNGCACAAGCGGCGGAGCAUGUGGAUUAAUUCGAUGCAACGCGAAGAACCUUACCUGGGCUUGACAUAUACAAGAUCGGCGUAGAGA